GGAGCGGUAGUUCAGUUGGUUGCUCUUUGUUUAAGAGCGGCCGGCCUGUCUCGCCGGGGCGCGCGCUCACGCAUGGUGGAUAGGGAGUCCCGUCCGCUCCGCCA
rnacentral:tRNA from 1 species